CGGAAUAGGGCCCGUAAGUGUCGUUUACUUUCACUUUCGAUUUACCACUUCCGGGUACAUCGGCAGACUUAUUUACCGUUACGCAUAUAGGUAACCCGAAGAACUCGAGGGGUAUAGAAGUUAAAUUUGUUUCGGUCCUCUUCAGAUUUGAAGGAAUGGAUAGCACGGGUCAAAAAAUGCAGAUGUAUAGACAAGGAGGUAUAUGACAAGUAUAGAAUAUACAGUUGUUCAAUAUGGACCAUUAAUCAACUGUUUACACUGCCUAUGAUCCUGAAAUAUCUAUACAUCAAAGGUAAAAAGGGAAAAGAUGAAGGAGGAUUUGUCCAUGAAGACCUUUAUUGCAACUACCAUCUUCCAGUUCCUUAAUUUGAGAAUGAUAUCAGAGAACACACAGUUACAGUGAAAUAUUAGUUUAAUAUAAGCCACUGAGAGUUGUCAAAUGUACUUUCCUGAAGAAGAUGAAUGACAUCCAGCACAAAAAUCUUAAUGUAUAAAGAGUAUGAUUUUAUGUAUUUGACACUAUGAACAUGUUAAUGUCACAAUGAUAGAAACAGAGUAAAAUGUCCACAUUUCAUUGCAGUUUUAAGUAUUAAAACUAGAUACUCUAUUUAUACCAAAGCUGAUAACACACCAGAAAUUAGGUUUUUCAUGGAAUCACAGUAUAGUCAUAUGACAUUAUGGACAUUAAAUGACUACGAAGUAAAGAUUAGCAAAAAUAUUAUAUAUAUCAUCUACUACUAAUAUUGUGAGGUAAUCAUUGAUAAGCUCACAAAUUUGCAUUCAAAGCUUUGAUAUCAAGCUGAACAUUUUUCAAUUAGAAUAUGAUUUAUAACUCUAUGAUAAUUUGUUCAUGUUAAUUUUCAAAGUCUUUACAUUUGUAAAAGGAAAUAUUCUUAUUCUUGUAUCAGUAGACAUUCACAGUGUAAAGUUACAUUGUCCAAAUAACUAAUAAUAAAUCCAAGUGCUUUCCUGAAGUUUUUCUUCCACUGGAAAAUCAGUGUGAUAUAUAUGCUAAGCAGUGCACUAUAAAUUGUGUAAAAAUAAAAGUUUAUUAAACUUA